UACGGAGGGUGCAAGCGUUAUCCGGAUUCACUGGGUUUAAAGGGUGCGUAGGUGGGUUAUUAAGUCAGUGGUGAAAGCUCCGAGCUUAACUUGGAAACUGCCAUUGAUACUGAUAGUCUUGAAUGUCAUAGAGGUAAGCGGAAUGUUGCAUGUAGCGGUGAAAUGCUUAGAUAUGUUACAGAACACCAAUUGCGAAGGCAGCUUACUAUGCGACGAUUGACGCUGAGGCACGAAAGCGUGGGGAUCAAACAGG
rnacentral:rRNA from 1 species